AUUGAACGCUGGCGGAAUGCUUUACACAUGCAAGUCGAACGGCAGCACGGGUGCUUGCACCUGGUGGCGAGUGGCGAACGGGUGAGUAAUACAUCGGAACGUACCCUGACGUGGGGGAUAACGUAGCGAAAGUUACGCUAAUACCGCAUACGUCCUGAGGGAGAAAGCAGGGGAUCGUAAGACCUUGCGCGUUAGGAGCGGCCGAUGGCGGAUUAGCUAGUUGGUAGGGUAAAGGCCUACCAAGGCGACGAUCCGUAGCGGGUCUGAGAGGACGACCCGGCACACUGGAACUGAGACACGGUCCAGACUCCUACGGGAGACAGCAGUGGGGAAUUUUGGACAAUGGGCGAAAGCCUGAUCCAGCCAUUCCGCGUGAGUGAAGAAGGCCUUCGGGUUGUAAAGCUCUUUCGGCAGGGGAGAAACGGUUUUGGAUAAUACCCAGAACUAAUGACGGUACCUGAAGAAGAAGCACCGGCUAACUACGUGCCAGCCGCCGCCGUAA
rnacentral:rRNA from 1 species